rnacentral:rRNA from 1 species
UCCACGCCGUAAACGAUGCCUACUAGGUUGUGGUGGUUCUGACACCAGCACAGCCGAAGCAAAAGUGCUAAGUAGGCCGCCUGGGGAGUACGGUCGCAAGGCUAAAACUCAAAGGAAUUGACGGGGGCUCACACAAGCGGUGGAGCAUGUGGAUUAAUUCGAAGCAACGCGUAGAACCUUACCUGGGUUUGACAUGCUUGGAUGCUUGCCUGGAAACAGGUUAAGUUACCUUCGGGUGAAACUUGCACAGGUGCUGCAUGGCUGUCGUCAGCUCGUGUCGUGAGAUGUCGGGUUAAGUCC